AGAACUGCAAGGGGCAACAUGUUUUUGUCCUCUCAUUGGGACAGGGCUGCAGACUGCAGCUGUAGAUGAGCCUUUAAACAUCAGAGCAGCACAGCUGACGACUGCAGAGCAAAGCACUUUCUGCAGGCUGGGUUACAGCUUCCUUGUGCCUUCUAUGCCAGGGCAUACAAUGGAUUCUCAGCUCUGGUUUCAUGCAGAAUUGCUGAAUUAUGCUUUGGGUGUCCAACCUCUACCACUAUUCUACCACUGGCGUCUGCCUUUGCUCCGAGUCUACCAAUUAUUUCCUUUAAGUGUCAGCAGCACACCAGGCACACAGAGAUAUAACCUUACUUCAAGUUGAUGCUGUUAAACUAUCGCUUGAAACUGUAGUCGCAGUUGACAAGUGCUACUUCAGUCACUAAUAACAACUUCAGAAGUGCUAGUGGUGUCUUGGUUCUUAAUGCUGUGGCUCAGAGCUCUGGGAACGUCUUUCCAGGUCAUUUAGAGCCAUCCAUCUGAUCUGAAACAAGAGCAGUCAGUCUCUUCACAGGCUCUGCUCCUUGCUGGCUGCAAGGUCCUCUGUUCAUCCCCUCAAGGCUGCAGCAGUGGCACAUCCAGGCAGCUGUCUGCCUUCUGGAAGAGCUCCAUUUACCUGCAAUGAUGUCAGUGUUUGCAUCAAGGAAAAGGUUGAACCCUCUCCUGAGAAAGUCUGUCUGUACAGAAGGAGCAAGACAAGCACUCGGACACAAGUCCCAGCUUUGCAGCUGCAGAAUGCCAACAACACCACCUGGAAAUCCAUCUCAGAUGCCACUUCUUCUUCAAGCAGAUCUUCCCACCUGUCUCAAGCCAGAUGUUUUGAACAGUCAUGGAACUACCUGCAAAUAA
rnacentral:lncRNA from 1 species